rfam:Ornithorhynchus anatinus chromosome 3, whole genome shotgun sequence.
CCCCUCUCAGGACCAUACCUGGAAAGUUUCCAGUACUCUACCAGUCUCGGCUAUGGGAGGGAGAGUCAAGCAGAGACGUAUCUACUCCAUUUCUAGCUUAGCCAGUGGUUAGCAAGUGGAAGGCAAUCUGCUACAAGU